rnacentral:rRNA from 1 species
UACGAAGGGGGCUAGCGUUGCUCGGAAUCACUGGGCGUAAAGCGCACGUAGGCGGCUUUUUAAGUCAGAGGUGAAAUCCUGGAGCUCAACUCCAGAACUGCCUUUGAUACUGGAGAGCUUGAGUCCGGGAGAGGUGAGUGGAACUGCGAGUGUAGAGGUGAAAUUCGUAGAUAUUCGCAAGAACACCAGUGGCGAAGGCGGCUCACUGGCCCGGUACUGACGCUGAGGAGCGAAAGCGUGGGGAGCAAACAGG